GACGAACGCUGGCGGCGUGCUUAACACAUGCAAGUCGAACGGAAAGGCCCUGCUUUUGUGGGGUUCUCGAGUGGCGAACGGGUGAGUAACACGUGAGUAACCUUCCCUUGACUUUGGGAUAACUUCAGGAAACUGGUGCUAAUACCGGAUAGGAGCUCCUGCUGCAUGGUGGGGGUUGGAAAGUUUCGGCGGUUGGGGAUGGACUCGCGGCUUAUCAGCUUGUUGGUGGGGUAGUGGCUUACCAAGGCUUUGACGGGUAGCCGGCCUGAGAGGGUGACCGGCCACAUUGGGACUGAGAUACGGCCCAGACUGCUACGGGAGGCAGCAGUGGGGAAUAUUGCACAAUGGGCGGAAGCCUGAUGCAGAAACGCCGCGUGCGGGAUGAAGGCCUUCGGGUUGUAAACCGCUUUCGCCUGUGACGAAGCGUGAGUGACGGUAAUGGGUAAAGAAGCACCGGCUAACUACGUG
rnacentral:rRNA from 1 species